rnacentral:rRNA from 1 species
GUGGAUAACCUGCCGUAUACCGGGGGAUAACACUUAGAAAUAGGUGCUAAUACCGCAUAAGCGCACGGUCCUGCAUGGGACAGUGUGAAAAACUCCGGUGGUACAAGAUGGACCCGCGUCUGAUUAGCUGGUUGGCGGGGUAAAGGCCCACCAAGGCGACGAUCAGUAGCCGGCCUGAGAGGGUGGACGGCCACAUUGGGACUGAGACACGGCCCAAACCCCUACGGGAGGCAGCAGUGGGGGAUAUUGGACAAUGGGGGGAACCCUGAUCCAGCGACGCCGCGUGAGUGAAGAAGUAUUUCGGUAUGUAAAGCUCUGUCAGCAGGGAAGAAAGCAAUGACGGUACCUGACCAAGAAGCCCCGGCUAACUACGUGCCAGCAGCCGCGGUAAUACGUAGGGGGCAAGCGUUAUCCGGAAUUACUGGGUGUAAAGGGAGCGUAGACGGCUGUGCAAGUCUGGAGUGAAAGGCGGGGGCCCAACCCCCGGACUGCUCUGGAAACUGUAUGGCUGGAGUGCAGGAGAGGUAAGCGGAAUUCCUAGUGUAGCGGUGAAAUGCGUAGAUAUUAGGAGGAACACCAGUGGCGAAGGCGGCUUACUGGACUGUAACUGACGUUGAGGCUCGAAAGCGUGGGGAGCAAACAGGAUUAGAUACCCUGGUAGUCCACGCCGUAAACGAUGAUUACUAGGUGUCGGUGGGUAUGGACCCAUCGGUGCC